rnacentral:lncRNA from 1 species
AUAUAGUAGAAUUAGAUGGAAAACUAAUAGAAGAUGAAGCAAACAUACCUCCCGCAGUACAGUUCGCACUGUAAUGCGGGCCACCACAAAACUCGCAGCCAACGUUCGCUGCGUGAACCGGCAUCUGGAGUUGGUCGAUCUUCUUGGCUAGAAGCUCCACUUGAGCUGCCAAAGCUGCUGUAGAGUCCACUUGGUUGACCACUCCUUGUCUUCCUGGU